ensembl:lncRNA
UUGAAAGAAAAAAAAAAAAAAAAAAAAUCUUUUUUUUUCUAUUUUUUUUACAUAUAUACAUAAUAUAUAUACAAAUCAGUAUAUCGAUCAGUAAUCCAACAAAAACAUUUUAAUUAAAUUUAUUGUGAUAUAUUGCGCAAUACUUAAAACUAAACAUUUAAUUUUUUUGUAUAUACAAUAUGAAUGUAAUUUAAAAAAAAAUAUUAGAAGGAAAAAGAGCAAGUAAAACAUUAUGAAAAAAAGAAAAAAAAAGAAAAAAAAUAAAUUGGAAUGAACGGAAUAAACAUAUAUACGUAUGUAUGUAGGUAAGUAUGUAUAUAUAUAUUGAUAUCCGUUUUGUAUAAAAUAAGAAAUAUAAGCAUUUUACACCUUCUAUUUUUAAUAUACCAUUAAUUUUCUAUUGUCCAUGGGUUAACAACAACAACAAAAAAAUAGUGAUAUAUAUAAAAGGAAGAAAUAUUAGUAGGUGAGAUAAAGAUAUAUUGGUGCUUAUAUCAGGAAUAUAUAUAUAUAUAUAUAUAUAUAUAUAGGCAUAUACAUAUAUGUGUUUAUAUAUGCUUACCUAUGUAUACACCUUUUUGAUUUUUUUUUUUUUUUUUUUUUUUUUUUUAAAAACAAUAAUACUUUUAUCGUAUGAAAGUACUAUACAUGCAUCGAUUUAAUGGAUUUAAAAAAAACAAAAUGCAAAUAUCAUUUUACAAUAUGUGUGAUGUUCAUUUUGUUUUUCUUGUGCAUCCCGUUGUUUAAUUGUAAUGUAUCAACACAUUUAAAUGGCAAUACGAAAGAUAAAAUACCAGAAGAUGAUGAAAGCAAUAAGGCAGUCAAUGGUGGGGUCGAUAAUAGUAAAAAUAUAAAUCUUUCUAAUUUGAUUGAUGUAGGUGAAGUGUCAAAGAAUAACAAAAAUGAAGUGGUUAUCGAGUUUAUACAUAAUAUUAAUGAUAGUUCUAGUGGUGAUGACAACCUGACUGGUGCUAGUGAUAAAAACAAAAUAAAUGAAUCCGAAAAUAAAGUUGAGUUAACUAAUGAUACCUUGAAAGAAGAUAAAACACAUGCCACUUUAAAUGAUACUAUUUUUAAUAACACUUUCGAAAAUAAGGAAACAAAAAAUGAAAAUAAUACAUCUUUUAAUUUAUAUACUAAUGAAAAAAAGACGGCUUCCACUGACAAUAAUCCAAACGAUGAUUAUAAUGGUUUAAUUUUAAAAUUAUAUUUUACUAAAAAUAAUAAUUUAUAUACUAAUGUUAAAGUAGGUAAUCAACUAUUAAAGUUAUCUUUAAAUAGUAGACUAGAAGGUACGUAUGUAUUUAUGAAAGGAUCUAAUGCUUGUUAUACAAGACAAGGUGAUAUUGAUAAUAGUUUUUGUUAUAAUCCUAUGCUUUCGAAACAAGCUUUGUGGUGCAACAAUGACAACCUUUGUUUACCUGCAAUUUUAUCAAAACCAUAUGAAUGUUACAGCAGUAGAAAUUUGAUAUACGAAAAUAAAGCCGAGUAUCCCAAUAUAUAUUUCGACUCGCUUAGAUAUACUGAAAGUCACAUAGAAGGUUCAGAUGAUGUUCAGCUAUUGGAUUUGGUGAGUACCGUCGGCGGCAACAGUAGUAACGAAAGCAGUAAAGAAAGCAGUAAAGAAAGCAGUAAAGAAAGCAGUAAAGAAAGUAGUAACGAAAAUAGUAACGAAAGCAGUAACGGAAGCAGUAAAGAAAGCAGUAAAGAAAGUAGUAAAGAAAGCAGUAAAGAAAGCAGUAAAGAAAGUAGUAACGAAAGCAUUAGUAACAAAAGCAGUAAAAAAAGUAUUGGAGAUGCCUUUUUUAAUAACGCGGACAUAAAACUAGUAGUAGAUUUAACGUUUUAUAAAAAUUGGAGCCUGUUUCAAGACACAGAUGGGAUUUUGGGCAUUGCAGGAAAUGAAUUGAGCUGUAGAAACAUGAGUGUAUGGAAUAGUAUUAUUGAAAAGCAUAAUUUAAUAUUUGCUAUUGAUAUUAAUUUACCUGAUGGUACAGUAAAAGAGUAUAUAAAAGCUAUUAGUGGUAAAAGUCAAAAGAAUGAAAAAAAAAAAAAAGAAGUUUUUUAUUAUAAUCGUAUUUCAAAUAAUAUUAUGAAUAAAAUAAAUGUAAUUAAUAAUGAGUUGCUUAAAAUUAGUAAAAAAGAGAAAAUGAAAAACAUGUUGUUGGAUACGCAGGAGGAUGAACAAGAUAAUUUAUUGGUUGGAAAAAAUGAUAAUACAUUCAAUACAAACAUAAGAAAACGUUCAGAUGUAGGAAAUACCAUUUCAGAAAUACAUAUAGGUGGUUAUAAAAAAAGUUACGAACCUAUAGUUUGGGCUGAACCAAGAGAAAGAGGUGGUAUUUUUUCUGACUCGUUAAUGCAAUUUACCAUAUAUAAUUUAGAAGUAUGCCAUAAUAAUAUUUUUGGGAAAUAUAGUAGCAACUGGCAAGGUAUAAUAGAUUUGAGUAGUAAAUGCCUAGUACUUCCCAAAAUGUUUUGGUUAAGUUUAAUGGAAUAUUUACCAGUUAAUAAAAAUGAUAAAAGAUGUGUCCAGACAAAUCCAAAAAUCGAAAAUUUUGAAGAUCGUAUUCCAAGAAUGUGUUCCGUAGAUAAUGCUUAUAGACCAUUACCUGUUUUGAAGUUUUAUGUUUCUGAUAAUGACGUGGUGGCUAAUAAUAAUGUUAUAAAUGAUGACGAUGUUGAUAAUAUGCAUAACAGUAACAAUGAAUAUAAUAUUAACGGCUUGUUUGUUAAUAAUGAUAUAAAAAAAAAAGCAGUUUAUAUACCACUUGAUAAUUUAAUAAUAAAUGAAAAUGGUGAAAAUAAUAACUAUUUAUGUGUUAUCCCAGAUAUACACGAAGUAAUAAAAACUGAAACCAGUGGAAGAACAACUAAACCUAUUAUUAAAUUUGGAACUUAUGUAUUAAAUAAUUUAUAUGUUAUAUCUGAUCAAGAUAAUUAUAAAAUUGGUUUUGUGAAUAAAAAAAAUUAUUAUUAUUCGAAUAAAAAUUGUACAAAAAAAGUAACAUGUAUAGGUGAUCAAGUAUAUGAACCUGCUUUAAAUAUAUGUGUUAAUCCAGAUUGUUCUAUAUGGUAUUUUUAUACAUUAAAUGAAGAAACCAAAAAAUGUGAAGCCCUUUCAUCACAAUUUUAUAUUUUUAUAUUGGUUCUCAUUAUUCUUUUAUUAUUGGAUUUACAAUCUUAUUACUUUUACCGAAGGUCAGUGCGUAUUGCGAAGGUGUCGUCACUAUAGGUUAAGCCAUGGGUCAGGAGAAAAAAUUAAAAAAAAAAAAAAAAAAAAAAAAAAAAAUGAUAAGGACAUGACAUGUCAUGUCACAACAUGACAGGAUAAGACGGGAUAUAACAUGAAACCUUUUUAUUAACAUAUGUAAA